rnacentral:tRNA from 1 species
CGGAGCGUAGCUCAAUCUGGCAGUCUGAUGUAUUAUUGAUCCAUCGGUUGCCGGUUCAAAUCCGGCCGCUCCGACCA